AUGGGAUCGGCGAUCAACAAAGAAGCCGUCGCCGCAGAUAAGGAUACUUCGGCAAAUGGAGGAAUCAGCGAAAAUAGUGUUAUAUACAAGGUCUACCCAGCUCGAUGGCUCGUUCUAGCUGUUUGUUGCUUUCUUGCUCUUUCAAACGCAAUGCAAUGGAUAAGCUUCAGCUCUCUAUCCGACGAAGUUUAGAUAUAUUAUAGAGGACGUCCAGCCAACGGGAGCAUUGAUGUAUCACUUGUCACAAAUCAAAUUUUCCAGUUUGUCGCCGUGUUCACUGGAUUUGGUGGAAUGUACAUAACUGAUAACAAAGGAAUAAAAACGGCUGGUCUUCUUGGUACAACUUUAAAUGUAAUUGGAGCAUCGAUUCGGAUGAUUGCCUCGAUUCCUUUCAUAAAAUCACAUUUUGUUCGUGAAUGUCUUCUUCAUGCAGGAUCGUUUAUCGCUGCUUCAGCACAAGCAUUCUUUUUAGUUCUUCCAUCAAAAAUUGCUGAAUGCUGGUUCCCUGGUGAUCAGAGAGCAAUUGCAAAUGUACUUUCUUUUGUUGCAAAUCCUGCCGGUGUUGCCCUGGGAACAAUUGUGCCAUCCAUUCUUUUUGGUCACAAUAAGACUAUUGAUUCGAAUAGUUGGAUGUUCUUCACAUUUACUCUUGGAAUGGAAUGUCUAGCCUUGUUUCCAUUUGUUCUAGCACUAUUCGUUCGAACUAAACUGCCACCCACUCCACCAUCAGCUUCUUCUGCUGCUCAUCAGAACAACAUUGGUUUCUUUAAAUCUAUCCUUCAAUGUAUUUUUAAUGCUCAAUUUUUCAUCCAAAUGACUCUCUUUGCAUUUGCGUUUUCGCUUCUGUGGAGUCUAAUGAUUUUUCUCGAUGGUCCACUCAAAGAUCAAGGUUAUGAGAUGGCUGGAUAUCCAACUGCCGUGUGUGCAAUCGUUGGCACGUUAACAUCACUGCUCGCUGGUCAUAUUGCCGACAAAACACGCAAGUUCAAGGAAAUAAUCAGAGUUUGCACUGUUGGAUUUUCAUGUUCAGUCAUUACAUUGAGAAUGUUCCUAAAUCAACCACGGACUGGACUCUUUGAUAGCAUAAUCGUUUACACUCUUUAUGGAUGUCUCGGUAAGAUAAUAUUUUACCAAAGUUUUGUAGAUAUCUUCCUUCUAAUAAUUGUAUUCUGA